rnacentral:tRNA from 1 species
GCGGGUAUAGUUUAGUGGCAGAACGUGGCCUUCCCAAGGCUAAAACGGGAGUUCGAUUCUCCCUACCCGCA